UGAGGAACAUGACUUUCGGUGGGGGAUAGCCGGCCCAACGGCCGGGUAAUACCGCGUACGACCUCUUGGGGACAUCCCCGAGUGGUGAGGGCAGCAAUGCGCCGAAAGAGUGCCUCGCGGCCUAUCAACUAGUUGGUGGGGUAAUGGCUCACCAAGGCGACGACGGGUAGCUGGUCUGAGAGGAUGGCCAGCCACAUUAGGACUGAGACACGGCCCAGACUCCUACGGGAGGCAGCAGG
rnacentral:rRNA from 1 species